UGACGGUACCUGACUAAGAAGCUCCGGCUAAAUACGUGCCAGCAGCCGCGGUAAUACGUAUGGAGCAAGCGUUAUCCGGAUUUACUGGGUGUAAAGGGUGCGUAGGUGGCAUGGUAAGUCAGAUGUGAAAUACCGGGGCUCAACCCCGGAGCUGCAUUUGAAACUGCCAGGCUGGAGUACAGGAGAGGCAAGCGGAAUUCCUAGUGUAGCGGUGAAAUGCGUAGAUAUUAGGAGGAACACCAGUGGCGAAGGCGGCUUGCUGGACUGUUACUGACACUGAGGCACGAAAGCGUGGGGAGCAAACAGGAUUAGAUACCCUG
rnacentral:rRNA from 1 species